rnacentral:rRNA from 1 species
UACGUAGGAGGCGAGCGUUGUCCGGAUUUACUGGGCGUAAAGGGCGAGUAGGCGGUCUAUUAAGUCUCAUGUGAAAUCUCCCGGCUUAACUGGGAGGGGUCAUGGGAAACUGGUAGACUUGAGGGCAGUAGAGGAGAGUGGAAUUCCCGGAGUAGCGGUGAUAUGCGUAGAUACCGGGAGGAACACCUGAGGCGAAGGCGACUCUCUGGGCUGCACCUGACGCUGAGGCGCGAAAGCAUGGGGAGCGAAC